UUUUCAGUCAAGAUUGUUAUACUUUAGCAGUGAGAGGGCAGUUUUGUCACUGGACCGUGAAUUAUUUUUAUUAUCAAUGACAGUUGCUUUGACAUGUCAUACACUGAGCUGGAACAUGGCUAUCAGGGUCUUAGGAGUGCUACGAACCAACCAAUUUUCUAUGUAGGAGACAUCGGCACUGUACAACCAGGUCUUGUUGGCCCAGUGGGUUCGUCCCUCUAUCGUACUUCCAAUCGGGGCGAACUGUCGGACGGCUGCGUCAACGAUGACGGAUGCCUGGGAGGCAGCGAUCUCGAGGGCGAGGGCAAGCAGGUCCUGGUGGGAAUAUGCGCGAUGGCCAAGAAGUCGCAGAGCAAACCCAUGAAGGAGAUACUCACGCGGCUCGAGGAGUUCGAGUACAUAAAGAUCGUCGUUUUCGCGGAGGAAGUUAUCUUAAAAGAACCCGUUGAAGACUGGCCCAUAGUAGACUGUUUGAUAAGUUUCCAUAGCAAAGGAUUUCCACUAGACAAAGCCAUACAGUACGCCAACCUGCGCAACCCUUUUAUAAUCAACAAUCUUCCCAUGCAAUAUGACAUCCAGGACCGAAGAAGAGUGUACGCCAUUUUGGAGGGCGAGGGAAUUGAAAUACCCAGGUAUGCCGUUCUCGACAGAGAUUCCGCCGACCCGAAACAUAUCAUUUCAGAUCACGAGCUGGUCGAGUCCGAGGACCACGUGGAGGUCAACGGCGUCACGUUUAACAAGCCCUUCGUCGAGAAGCCAGUCUCUGCUGAAGAUCAUAAUAUUUACAUUUAUUAUCCGACCUCCGCAGGUGGUGGCAGCCAGCGAUUGUUCAGAAAGCCAAUUAGCAUCGCUGAUAAAAUCCCCCAGAUCGGCAGUCGCAGCAGCGUGUACUCGCCGGAGUCGCGAGUCCGCAAAACCGGCUCCUACAUCUACGAGGACUUCAUGCCAACGGACGGUACCGACGUCAAGGUCUACACGGUGGGCCCUGACUACGCUCACGCGGAGGCGAGGAAGAGCCCGGCCCUCGACGGCAAAGUCGAGAGGGAUUCCGAAGGCAAGGAGAUCAGGUAUCCCGUGAUACUCAGCAACGCCGAGAAGCUCAUCAGCAGGAAGGUCUGUCUGGCCUUCAAGCAGACCGUUUGCGGUUUCGAUUUACUAAGAGCCAACGGCCAGUCCUUCGUUUGUGAUGUCAACGGUUUCAGUUUUGUGAAGAACUCGAACAAGUAUUACGAUGACUGUGCCAAGAUUCUGGGGAAUAUGAUCCUAAGGGAACUUGCUCCAACCCUGCACAUUCCAUGGAGUGUACCCUUUCAACUGGAUGAUCCACCGAUUGUACCCACUACUUUUGGUAAAAUGAUGGAAUUGCGAUGCGUAGUUGCAGUGAUAAGGCAUGGCGAUCGAACGCCAAAGCAGAAAAUGAAAGUGGAGGUUCGACAUCCAAAGUUCUUCGAGAUUUUUGCCAAAUACGAUGGUUACAAACACGGUCAUGUGAAGCUUAAGCGCCCCAAGCAGUUGCAGGAAAUCCUCGAUACAGCUCGAAGUUUACUGGCUGAAAUCCAGCAUCGAGCUGCUGGUCCCGAAUUGGAAGAAAAACAGGGGAAACUGGAACAGCUUAAGAGCGUUUUAGAGAUGUACGGCCACUUUUCAGGAAUCAAUCGCAAAGUACAAAUGAAGUAUCAGCCGCGCGGAAGACCAAGAGGAAGCUCUUCCGACGAUGGCAACAGCAGUAGUAUGUUAAAAAAUCGUCUGGGAGAGCCCUCGCUAGUUCUCAUAUUAAAGUGGGGCGGCGAGCUGACUCCGGCCGGUAGGAUCCAGGCCGAAGAGUUGGGUCGCAUAUUUCGCUGCAUGUACCCAGGUGGUCAAGGUAGACACCUUAGUGAGGAAGACUCAGAGAUGUUACCAAACCACGGCGAAUACGCUGGCGCUCAAGGUUUGGGUCUUCUAAGGCUGCACUCAACGUUCCGUCACGAUUUGAAAAUCUACGCGAGCGACGAGGGUCGUGUACAAAUGACCGCUGCAGCUUUCGCCAAGGGUCUUCUUGCUCUAGAAGGCGAGCUUACUCCCAUCCUUGUGCAAAUGGUCAAAAGCGCUAACACAAACGGAUUACUAGACAACGAUUGUGAUAGCAGCAAGUACCAGAAUAUGGUUAAAAAUCGUUUGCACGAAUACUUACAACAGGAUAAGGAGUUUACGAAAGAGGACAGAGAACAAAUCAACCCAACGAAUGCCUUGAGUAUAAAUGCGGCUUUAGAUUUUGUUAAGAAUCCAGUUAGAUGUUGUCAGCAUGUUCAUUUAUUAAUCCAAAAGCUAAUGGAUAUUGUGAGGAUAAAGAAAGAUGAUCCUAAAACUAAAGAUGCGAUAUUGUAUCACGGAGAAACGUGGGAGUUGAUGGGUCGUCGAUGGGGGAAGAUAGAGAAAGAUUUUUGUACAAAGCAAAAACGAUUUGAUAUUUCCAAGAUUCCUGAUAUUUACGAUUGUAUAAAAUAUGAUCUACAACACAACAACCAUACCCUACAAUUCGAACACGCAGAGGAACUUUAUAUAUAUUCUAAAUAUUUGGCUGAUAUUGUUAUACCUCAGGAGUAUGGUUUGACUGUGCAAGAAAAGUUAACUAUUGGCCAGGGAAUUUGUACACCUUUGCUAAAGAAAAUCCGGGCUGAUUUACAAAGAAAUAUCGAAGAACCUGGUGAAGAAACUGUAAAUAGGCUAAACCCAAGAUAUUCGCACGGUGUUUCAAGUCCGGGUAGACAUGUGAGAACAAGGCUGUAUUUUACUAGUGAAAGUCAUGUACAUUCUUUGUUAACCGUUUUAAGAUAUGGGGGUUUACUUGAUGUUUUGAGCGACGAGCAAUGGAGACGGGCCAUGGAAUACGUCAGUAUGGUUUCGGAACUGAAUUAUAUGUCCCAAAUCGUAGUGAUGCUGUACGAAGAUCCGACAAAGGACCCUAGCAGCGAAGAGCGUUUUCACGUAGAACUUCAUUUUAGUCCAGGAGUAAAUUGUUGCGUUCAGAAGAACCUACCACCAGGGCCUGGAUUCAGGCCACAUUCUCGAAACGAGAGUAGCCAUAAUCUUGGAGAAGCCGGCUCAGGUCAGGACAACACAUCGCAAUGUAGUACACGGAUUGAAGAAGAAGACACGGAACUUGGUGUUUUAGAAGAUGAUGUAACAAUACCACCACUAGAAAGAAAGAGAACUUCUUUAUUUAAGGAUACGUCUCCGCCGCUGAUGGAAGUAGACUCGGUCGAUUCAAUGCUCGAUAGUCCAACAACUACCAGCAGAGCUAUCAAUAUGAUGGAUCUAGAUCCAAAUAUUAUGGAUGAACCAUAUGACAGUGGAUUCCUACAAAGCUCUGCGCCUAUACCAAUUAGUGCAAGGACGGUGGCUGGCCACGAAGCUGCAAGGCUGGGAAGUCAAUUGGCAGCGAGCCAAAGACAACGAAGGGAAAGGGAAGCGGGUGUCAUGUGCGAGCCCAGAGCAAGGAGUUACGACCAUCAGCGGCAAGACAAGCCAGACAAAACUGCGGACAAGCUGCAGUAUCAGAGCUUGGACGCGGUCAACAAAGAAGCGAGUUCGCGGGUCUCCCGUUCUCCAAAGUGCUCGGAGAUCUUCCUGGAGGAGUCGAGCUUAUCCUAUACCCUGGGCAUGCCGGUCUCCCUGGCCCACUCCAUAAGCUCGCCGGAGCUCAUUCCCGUGCCGAUAAUCAACGUCCUGGAGGACUCUCCACCCUCCUCCGCCGUCCCGUGCGGCAGCAACAAUCCACCUCUGAUCACCCUGCACAACACCCCGCUAGCUUCGCCCGGAGCCGUGCCCAGCCCGUUCGACUACGAGGACAGCAGCGCAGCUGCCGAGCCGCCGCCUCCGCCGCUGAGUAGUAGUUCCCCUAGGUCGAGCAUCGACGACGCAGCAGGCGACUUGACGAGCUCCCGGCAGAUGCUCCGAUUGCCCGGGCUCAUCAAGCGCUACGGACGCUCGCACUCGGCCAUGACGCUGCCGGUCAUCGAGAUCAGCGACACGCGACCUUCGAUCAUUCAACCUGACCCUACCUGCACAGCAAGGCGCCACCGUCACAGUAUCUCCGGACAGAUGAGUUAUUUCAAGCUUUUGGGCUACAACGUGAGCAAGAAGCUCACCGGCUCGGCCAACAGUCUAUUCAGCACGGCCGUCAUCAGCGGUUCCUCGAGCGCGCCCAAUCUCAAGGACAUGGUACCGCCGCACGCCUCCGCCGUCGCUGCGAUCGAGGGCUUCGGCGGAGUGCCGCCAAUCCGGCCCCUGGAGACGCUGCACAACGCGUUGUCUCUUCGCCAGCUGGACGCCUUCCUGGAGAUGAUGACGGGCGUGCCGUUGUUCCGUACGCCGGCCUCAUCGCCUCCGAAGCUUCCGUCGCCGGUUGGCGCCGGAACCGCCGGUCACCAGAGCCUCGGCAUCGAGGCUGCCAGGUACUAUUGACCGAAGCUACUCUCUGUCUGCGUCGCGCGGUUCGCUAUUUCUCUGAGCCGCACAUAUGCACCCGGUAUAUCACACCCACCUCCAUUCAUUACAAAGGAUCUCAUGACAACGAGUUAAGCGAUAUCAGGAAUCAAGUCUCUCCCACAAGUCCCAAUAGCACAGGAUGGAGCAGCGAACCUCCGUCGUUCCUCUCAUCGGAACCGUCCUCCCCAGCUCCAACUUCAGCAGGCGAGUGUAGCAUGUCCAUGAGUUUAGUCAGCAACGAUGGAUCUCAACCCUUUUCGGCUGGACCGAAGUACUCCCCAAACCGUUGUCUGGAACUCGAUUACAACGACUUCUGCGUAAACAUCGAUCAAGAGACGCGCGAGAGCCGUGGCAGCGUCUCUUAUACAGACUACUACAGCAGCGAGGAUGGCCAGAUCCGACGCACCGCCAACGACAACUGCUUCCCGAUCUUCGUCAAACCCUCAACGACACCCGCGGACGACGGCUCUGGCGCCGAAAACGAGGAAGAAGACCACACCCUCACUCUCAAACAGUCCGAGGAGCAGAAGAAGCAGGAUGUGCAGUUCAUCUUUGAGCAGAAGGAGAGUCAGACUGCCGUCAAGCCUGGAAGCAGCUACAAAAAGAUCGGGAGAUUCCGUGUGGAGAGCAUGGAGAUCUCGGACAGCGACGUGCGAAUAAAGGAGACGAGUUCUCUCAGUUCGAGUGUUUCUUCGGAGAAGAGCAGGUUCCUCAGCUCGCAGCAGAAGCGGGACUCGUCGAAGAAGAGCAAUAAUCUGCUACGCUCACAGAGCGUUUACACGCCCAAGGCGGUAGUGCGCAGUGGGAGCAGAUCACCCCUGCUCCACAAGCAGAGCUCGCUUUCGGCUACUGCGAUCGCCGACGCCGACAGCUGGAAGCGCUCGCCCAAGAAAUCAUCCGAAGAGUCUUCUGAACCUCCUGCUUCUGACGAGCAGCCCAUGCUUACACUCGCGAGCAGUUUUACCGAUAAGUCGCACGUCACCUUUGGCUUCGACCUCCCCGAUGAGAAGAGGGAUUAAUUUUAAAAUUAUAUACUGAUUUCCUUUUUUCUCUUUUUUUAUUAUCUGUAUACACAAUACUUUUUUGUUGUCUGAUGUUCAAGUAUUAUCAUAUAUAUGUGCACGCGGUGCAUUGUACAAUAGCGUUUUUAUUUUAUGAUUGUAUAUUUUAUAUAUGUGAGCGAGAGUGAUAGUCGCGGGUAUACAUAUAGCACUUAUCGUAUUUUUUUACCACAAUGAACUUAUUAGAAUGAGAGAUGAAGUAGUUCAUCAGACGGGUUGAUCAAGUCGAUUGUUUUCUUAGCGAAAUUUUGUUUGAAAUAAUUUUUUAGUUUGGCUUUCGAGCGUUCUAAUGCGUUGAUACGACAUUCCUCGAUAUAAUAUCUUGAAUGUAUAGCGCAAAAUGCAACAUCGAUUUUUAUGUACACACCUUUAGCGCAAAGUGCUUCUCACAUGUAGUCUGUCUGAUAUAACCGUAUGAUAUAUUUUUAAUAAUCAUCGAUUGUACCUGAUAAAAGGUGCUUCUGUUGCGAGCACUUUGGAAAUUGAGAAUUGAUUAACGUGUACUUAAUACUCUAAUCAUGUCCAGAUAAUUUUUAAACUAACCGGAUUUUUGAUUGAUUAAGUAUUCCUUACCUACGCGAUAUUCGAUUAUCACGCAGAUUAGGUUGCUUUGUAUAGUCAAAAUUUGUAACGUGUGUCCACGACAAAAAAAAAACAAUUUGUAAGCUGUUCCUUAAAUAACGUUGUAAAGGAUGUAAGAAGUGUCCAUUGUAUGUGGUGAGAUAUUAAAGUACUAUUUUUUAAGUAUAAAAUGUGCCUAGGUGCUUAUAAAGAGAAUUGAUUGAAAAAACCUCCAUGUCGAAAUAGAAGAGAAAAAAUGUCAGCAUCUAUGUCGCAUGAUAGUUUUUAACUAGAUGACCAAUAAUGCAUCAUGUGAAACAAAAAUAAACGAGUAAUAGAUGAAAACUCCAGUGUUUCAGUGCUAUAUCAAAGGUGUCAUAAGUUGUAAAAAUUGUUAAAUAAAUCAAUAAAAAAUAAUAAAAAUA